AUCAUGUAUUUCAAUAUUUACAAUUAGUGGUUUCUAAGUUCUAUUUGUUUUUUAUUUCACAUUUACUAACACAAUAACAUUUUUACCUAACAAGUUUACAAUUUUUUGGACAUUUUUGUUGAGUGAAACUUAUUUUAUUCAUUCUUAGGUUAAGAUAACCUUUUUUUUGUAAGAGUUUAAGAUAACAUUUUUACCGCUACACACCGAAGCUUCUAUGGCUGUAAUCAUCACUGAGACGUCACAAUACUCAGGUUAGUUGAAAAUAGGAGAUCUUCCAUGGAUCCUUCGACAAAAUAUCAUCACACUUGGCGUUUUAUC